UACGUAGGGUGCAAGCGUUGUCCGGAAUUAUUGGGCGUAAAGAGCUCGUAGGCGGUUUGUCGCGUCUGCUGUGAAAACCCGAGGCUCAACCUCGGGCCUGCAGUGGGUACGGGCAGACUAGAGUGCGGUAGGGGAGACUGGAAUUCCUGGUGUAGCGGUGGAAUGCGCAGAUAUCAGGAGGAACACCGAUGGCGAAGGCAGGUCUCUGGGCCGCAACUGACGCUGAGGAGCGAAAGCAUGGGGAGCGAACAGG
rnacentral:rRNA from 1 species